rnacentral:siRNA from 1 species
UAAUGAAUCCGUUACUACUAAUGC